rnacentral:piRNA from 1 species
UAUCAAAGUAAAACGUUCCUG